rnacentral:rRNA from 1 species
GACGAACGCUGGCGGCGUGCUUAACACAUGCAAGUCGAACGGAAAGGCCCUGCUUUUGUGGGGUGCUCGAGUGGCGAACGGGUGAGUAACACGUGAGUAACCUGCCCUUGACUUUGGGAUAACUUCAGGAAACUGGGGCUAAUACCGGAUAUGAGCUCCUGCUGCAUGUUGGGGGUUGGAAAGUUUCGGCGGUUGGGGAUGGACUCGCGGCUUAUCAGCUUGUUGGUGGGGUAGUGGCUUACCCAGGCUUUGACGGGUAGCCGGCCUGAGAGGGUGACCGGCCACAUUGGGACUGAGAAACGGCCCAGACUCAUACGGGAGGCAGCAGUGGGGAAUAUUGCACAAUGGGCGGAAGCCUGAUGCAGCAACGCCGCGUGCGGGAUGACGGCCUUCGGGUUGUAAACCGCUUUCGCCUGUGACGAAGCGUGAGUGACGGUAAUGGGUAAAGAAGCACCGGCUAACUACGUG